rnacentral:rRNA from 1 species
CUACGGGCUGCUCCAGUGAGGAAUUUUGCGCAAUGGGGGAAACCCUGACGCAGCAACGCCGCGUGAGUGAUGAAGGCCUUCGGGUCGUAAAGCUCUGUCAAGUGGGAAGAACCCACCCUGUGCUAAUAUCACAGGGUGCUGACGGUACCACUGAAGGAAGCACCGGCUAACUCCGUGCCAGCAGCCGCGGUAAUACGGAGGGUGCAAGCGUUAUUCGGAAUUACUGGGCGUAAAGGGCGCGUAGGCGGCCUUUUAAGUCAGAUGUGAAAUCCCGGGGCUCAACCCCGGAAGUGCAUCUGAAACUAAGAGGCUUGAGUAUGGGAGAGGGAAGUGGAAUUCCUGGUGUAGAGGUGAAAUUCGUAGAUAUCAGGAGGAACACCGGUGGCGAAGGCGACUUCCUGGACCAAUACUGACGCUGAGGCGCGAAGGCGUGGGGAGCAAACAGGAUUAGAUACCCGUGUAGUC